rnacentral:rRNA from 1 species
UGAGGAACAUGACCUUCGGCGGGGGAGUAGCCGGCCCAACGGCCGGGUAAUACCGCGUACGACCACAUGGGGACAUCCCUGAGUGGUGAAAGCAGCAAUGCGCCGAUGGAGUGCCUCGCGGCCUAUCAGCUAGUUGGUGGGGUAACGGCUCACCAAGGCAACGACGGGUAGCUGGUCUGAGAGGGUGAUCGGCCACAUUGGAACUGAGACACGGUCCAGACUCCUACGGGAGCAG